UAUAGGGUCAAGUACACAGCUAAAGACCACUGGCCAAAAUGAAAGUUUGAGGUUCCAGACUCUGGCUGGAAAACUUCAUCUGAGAUUGAGAAAAUACCAGAUAAUGCACAGAGAAGACCUGCUAUCUUGGCAGAUUAUGGCAUUGAACUCCAACACCAUCAAAUGGUGGGUGUUUAAGAAGGUCAAAUACCAUGCCAUCAGGAGAGGAUGCAAGCCAGAGGACGUCGGGGUGUAAUUACAAGGCCACAGGGGUUUUGCCUCUCACUUGCCAGUGUUCCUAACCCUGAUCCAUACCAGGUUUUCCAGUGGGCUGAGGACGAUAUAAAAGGAAGAUUUACGGUUCGCAUUGUCCCUUAUUGGUAUGGUUGCUGGUUAAUAUAUGUCUCUUGUAUCUUGUAUAUAUUGUCCUGUAUUACACACUAGUUACACAUUGAUGGUAGGGAGUGGCUGCCAUUUUGUUUGGGUGUGGAUUUAUCUCUGUUUAUACCACUGUAGUGAUUGUAUGUUUCUUUUUGUUGGCUUAGUCAGUUGUCUUUUUGUUACCAGUGCGAUUUUUUGUUUGUUGUCUUGGCCUGGGCCACUCCUAAAGUUAUUGCACCAGUUUCUAUAUUUCUGUAUCUGACCACCAAAACUUGUAAAUACACUUGACCU